UUUAAGGGCUGACUGCCACUGGGGAAGGAUCUCUGAUUGGAGAUCCCUCCUGGGUGAAGCUUUCCCCUCUAAAUCUAGGAUCUUCUGAUAUGGGAGUCUUGAAUCUGAGUCAUCGCCAUGGACAGUCCUGUUCUUUUCUGCCUGCUCUGAAGUGAACAACUUAAACUGAAGUGUGAAGACUCAUUUUCAAUUUGGGUUGAACCCUGGGAUACUCCUUAGCUUACUGUUCUUAAAGAAAGUGGGAUGAAUCCUAACAGUUGGAGGCUGCCGAAGAAGCAGACAAGCUACCAUGUACUCUCAUUUAAUUACAAAGGCAGCCCUAUCAGGCCAGAAAUCACCUGAACUGAAAGUAUCCAGAGUGACAAAUUCUACUGAGUUAAGCCCACUGGGUAUUGCUGGAAUGGAGAAAAAGGAUCAUCAAGCAAGGAAUCUCUGGGCUCCUAUUUGCUGCGAAUGUGAAGUAUCAUGUGGUAGGCAAAGAUACACAGUUCUGAGCUGGUCUGUUCACAACCAGUGCUGAACUGUUGCCCAGUUCCUGCAAAGCCUGCAAGGACUGCUUGUCUUCCCGAGUACAGACGUGCAUUGGCAGCUGUACACAAGCUCUUCUCUAUUACUACAACCUUUGAAUGAAUAAACAGUGAUAAGAAGUGCUUGAA